rnacentral:rRNA from 1 species
AUUGAACGCUGGCGGCAGGCUUAACACAUGCAAGUUGAGCGGAGAUGAGGUGCUUGCACCUUAUCUUAGCGGCGGACGGGUGAGUAAUGCUUAGGAAUCUGCCUAUUAGUGGGGGACAACAUUCCGAAAGGAAUGCUAAUACCGCAUACGUCCUACGGGAGAAAGCAGGGGAUCUUCGGACCUUGCGCUAAUGGAUGAGCCUAAGUCGGAUUAGCUAGUUGGUGGGGUAAAGGCCUACCAAGGCGACGAUCUGUAGCGGGUCUGAGAGGAUGAUCCGCCACACUGGGACUGAGACACGGCCCAGACUCCUACGGGAGGCAGCAGUGGGGAAUAUUGGACAAUGGGGGGAACCCUGAUCCAGCCAUGCCGCGUGUGCGAAGAAGGCCUUAUGGUUGUAAAGCACUUUAAGCGAGGAGGAGGCUACUGAGACUAAUACUCUUGGAUAGUGGACGUUACUCGCAGAAUAAGCACCGGCUAACUCUGUGCCAGCCGCCGCCGUAAAAC